rnacentral:rRNA from 1 species
UACGGGGGGGGCAAGCGUUGUUCGGAAUUACUGGGCGUAAAGGGCGCGUAGGCGGUUCGCUAAGUCGGAUGGGAAAACUCUGGGCUCAACCCAGAGCCUGCAUCCGAAACUGGCGGGCUAGAGUUCUGGAGGGGGUAGCGGAAUUCCUGGUGUAGCGGUGAAAUGCGUAGAUAUCAGGAGGAACACCGGUGGCGAAGGCGGCUACCUGGACAGAAACUGACGCUGAGGCGCGAAAGCUAGGGGAGCAAACAGG